CAGUCGCCACGGUAAUACGUAGGGUGCAAGCGUUAAUCGGAAUUACUGGGCGUAAAGCGUGCGCAGGCGGUUCGCUAAGACAGAUGUGAAGUCCCCGGGCUUAACCUGGGAACUGCAUUUGUGACUGGCGGGCUAGAGUAUGGCAGAGGGGGGUAGAAUUCCACGUGUAGCAGUGAAAUGCGUAGAGAUGUGGAGGAAUACCGAUGGCGAAGGCAGCCCCCUGGGCCAAUACUGACGCUCAUGCACGAAAGCGUGGGGAGCAAACAGGAUUAGAUACCCGCGUAGUCCCUGUCUCUUAUAC
rnacentral:rRNA from 1 species